CUUCUCCAUCUGACAGAUGUGACAACCCCAGAGCGGGCUGUAUUUUGUCCGUCUCUGGGGACUUUACUUUUUGCUUCC